UACGUAGGGGGCUAGCGUUGUCCGGAAUCAUUGGGCGUAAAGCGCGUGUAGGCGGUCCGGUAAGUCCGCUGUGAAAGUCGGGGGCUCAACCCUCGGAUGCCGGUGGAUACUGUCGGGCUUGAGUACGGAAGAGGCGAGUGGAAUUCCUGGUGUAGCGGUGAAAUGCGCAGAUAUCAGGAGGAACACCAAUUGCGAAGGCAGCUCUCUGGGACGGUACUGACGCUGAGACGCGAAAGCGUGGGGAGCGAACAGG
rnacentral:rRNA from 1 species